CUCCCUCCCUUCUCCGUGAAUCUCCUUCUUCUUCCCCCAUCUUCUCGUUUUCCAGGCCACUAAUGUUUGUCUGCGUGGAAGGCAUUCUCAUCUUCGGGCCUCGAGUAAGAUAUUUCAAAGCAACACGAUGGUGGCCGGACAUCACCAAAUCGCCUCAGAACUGUCCUCAAGAUCAUUAUCCAAUCAAGCUUAAAGCAAUGGGGAUGUAGCUCAGAUGAUAGAGCGCUCGUUUAGCAUGCGAGCAAUGGAGAUGUAGCUCAGAUGAUAGAGCGCUCGCUCUUGCAUCUCCAGAUAUUUUCCUAAAUCUUUUUGUCGACGACCGUUCCUCCCUCCUCCGUGGAUCUCCUUCCUGUCUAGCCUUCUCCCAUAUCUUCCCGUUUCUAGGCCACCGAUGUGUUUGGUUGCGUGGAAGGCAUUCUCAUCUUCCACUGGGGCCUCGAGUAAGAGAUUUGUAGCAGCACGAUGAUGGGCGGGCAUCACCAAACCGCCUCGGAAGUGUCCUCAAGGUUGUUGUUCGAGCAAGCUUAAAGUAAUGGGGAUGUAGCUCAGAUGGUAGAGCGCUCGCUUAGCAUGCGAGAGGCACGGGGAUCGAUAAAUGUUUUGUUGGCAUAGAUCUUUUUGCCAGCGGUCGCUACUCCCUCCCCCCUCCGUGAAUCUCCUUCUUCUUCCCCAUAUCUUCCCGUUUUCCAGGACACUGAUACGAGAAUCGAUACCCUGCAUCUCCAGAUAUUUUCCUAAAAUCGUUUUACCGGGGGGCGUUCCCCCUUCCUCCUCCGUGGAUCUCCUUCCUGUCUAGCCUUCCCCCAUAUCUUCCCGUUUCCAGGCCACCAAUGUGUUUGGCUGGGUGGAAGGCAUUCUCAUCUUCCGCUGGGGCCUCGAGUAAGAGAUUUCGUAGCAGUGCGAUGAUGGGCGAGCAUCACCAAAUCGCCCCAGAAGUGUCCUCAAGGUCACUGUUCAACCAAGCUUGAAGUAAUGGUGAUGUAGCUCAGAUGGUAAAGUGAUGUUCAACCAAGCUUGAAGUAAUGGGGAUGCAGCUCAGAUGGUAGAGCGGCGAGAGGUACGGGGAUCGAUAAUCCGCAUCUCCAGUUUUUGGCGUAAAUCUUUUUGUCGGCGGUCGUUCCUCCUCCCUCUUCUGUGGAUCUCCUUCCUUUUCCGUCCUGUCUAGCCUUCCCCCAUAUAUUUCCGUUUCCAGGCCACCGAUGUUUGGUUGCGUGAAAGGCAUUCUCAUCCUCCGCUGGGGCCUCGAGUUGGAGAUUUCGAAGCAGCGCGAUGAUGGACGGGCAUCACCAAAUCGCCUCGGAACUGUCCUCAAGGCCGCCGUUCAAUCAAGCUUGAAGCAAGAUUGGUACUAGCUACUCGUUCUCCCAAAUUAGGACGGUCCUCAAGGCCGAUAGUCACAAUCCAGCUUGAAGCAUAAUCGGUUGAGAUCCAUGGACUGGUGAAGAUAUUCAUCGAUAGCUAUAAUGCACAGACAAUUGCUACGAUAUACUUCUCGUCAAGGCAGUUACUGCAUUAAAUUGUUCCUCUUGUCAAACAUAUAAUUUCUGUGAUUUAUGCAUUCGAUGGCUCUAUGGGGGGAAGAAAGCCUACAGAUGCAUAUCGCCCUCAUCAAUGAUAACUAUCUGCAUAACAAGUGUUGACUGGAAGAAGUAUGGAAAAGGACAUAGGAGAACAAAGAGAAAAAGUACGAGGAUGAAAUAAGUUAGAUUUCUCAAAUAUUUGAUUUAUUGGUCUGAUGUUUUUAUUCAUCUACUUACAUUAAUCAAAAAUGAUAAGACAGUUUAUGCUGGUGUUAUCUCAAAUUGCUUCACUAUGAUUAAAACAGACUACAUGGCGUUUUAGGAGAGCCGAAAGUUAAUUGGAGAGUGGUUAUACAU